AGGGAAAUAGCUCAGUGGUAGAGCACAUGCUUAGCAUGCAUGAGGUCCUGGAUUCAAUCCCCAGUACCUCCA
rnacentral:tRNA from 1 species